UACGUAGGGUGCAAGCGUUAAUCGGAAUUACUGGGCGUAAAGCGUGCGCAGGCGGUUAUGCAAGACAGAUGUGAAAUCCCCGGGCUUAACCUGGGAACUGCAUUUGUGACUGCAUAGCUGGAGUACGGCAGAGGGGGAUGGAAUUCCGCGUGUAGCAGUGAAAUGCGUAGAUAUGCGGAGGAACACCGAUGGCGAAGGCAGUCCCCUGGGCCUGUACUGACGCUCAUGCACGAAAGCGUGGGAGCAACAGG
rnacentral:rRNA from 1 species